AGCUGCAGGUAAAUCACCCUAAAUGGGCCUGACCUUGUUAAAUGUCAGAAACUAAAGAGGGUUGAGCCUGGCUAUUGCUUAGGAUGGGAGACUAACUGGGAAUAUCAGGUGUAGAUU
rnacentral:rRNA from 1 species